rnacentral:rRNA from 1 species
GACGAACGCUGGCGGCGUGCUUAAUACAUGCAAGUCGAACGGAAAGGCCCUGCUUUUGUGGGGUGCUCGAGUGGCGAACGGGUGAGUAACACGUGAGUAACCUGCCCUUGACUUUGUGAUAACUUCAGGAAACUGGGGCUAAUACCGGAUAGGAGCUCCUGCUGCAUGGUGUGGGUUGGAGAGUUUCGGCGGUUGGGGAUGGACUCGCGGCUUAUCAGCUUGUUGGUGUGGUAGUGGCUUACCAAGGCUUUGACGGGUAGCCGGCCUGAGAGGGGGACCGGCGACAUUGGGACUGAGAGACGGAGCAGACCCCUACGGGAGGCAGCAGGGGGGAAUAUUGCACAAUGGGCGGAAGCCUGAUGCAGCAGCGCCGCGUGCGGGAUGACGGCCUUCGGGUUGUAAACCGCUUUCGCAUGUGACGAAGCGUGAGUGACGGUAAUGGGUAAAGAAGCACCGGCUAACUACGUG